rnacentral:rRNA from 1 species
UACGGAGGGUCCAAGCGUUAUCCGGAAUCAUUGGGUUUAAAGGGUCCGUAGGCGGUUUUGUAAGUCAGUGGUGAAAGCCCAUCGCUCAACGGUGGAACGGCCAUUGAUACUGCAAGACUUGAAUUAUUGGGAAGUAACUAGAAUAUGUAGUGUAGCGGUGAAAUGCCUAGAGAUUACAUGGAAUACCAAUUGCGAAGGCAGGUUACUACCAAUAUAUUGACGCUGAUGGACGAAAGCGUGGGUAGCGAACAGG